rnacentral:rRNA from 1 species
UACGUAGGGGGCAAGCGUUGUCCGGAAUCACUGGGCGUAAAGGGCGCGUAGGCGGUUUGUUAAGUCAGGUGUGAAAGUUUUCAGCUUAACUGGAAAAGUGCACUUGAAACUAACUUACUUGAGUACUGGAGAGGUAAGCGGAAUUCCUAGUGUAGCGGUGAAAUGCGUAGAUAUUAGGAAGAACACCGGUGGCGAAGGCGGCUUACUGGACAGAGACUGACGCUGAGGCGCGAAAGCGUGGGGAGCGAAC